GGUUGUAGCUCAGUGGUAGAGCGCUUGCCUUGCAUGCGUGAGGUCCUGGGUUCGGUCCCUAGGACCA
rnacentral:tRNA from 1 species